GUGAAUCAUCGAAUUUUUGAACGCAAAUUGCGCCUUCUUUCGGGAGGCAUGUCUGUUUGAGGGCACCAUUUAACUAAUAAUUUGCGUGUCGCUAUGCGGCGUGCACACGGUGAUGAGCUUUCCCUAAUAACCAGGUUUUUUUUGUGGCGCAUAAUGCACAGCGUGAGCUUUUUCUUUCGUUCCUCGAGUAGUAUGUAAAUUUUCUAC
rnacentral:misc_RNA from 1 species